UGGAAGUGCUUUCAGCCUCUCACGCAGGCGCAGUAACUAAUUACCCACGCUUGCAGCACCAUUACAUGGAUCAGGUGAAUGCCUCCCCUUCAUUGUUCAUGUGCAGCCGUAUAUGUGUAACUAAUAGGAUGACCACAAGCAUCUCUAUAAGGGGGCAGAGAUAGCAGCAUGACCUAAGUCCUGGUGCCUCUAGAAGACCCAAGAGGCAAGAGGCUUCUGUACGUGGCUGACCUGGAGUCCGUAAUCUGGCCUCUGGCUGCCAUUGGAACCCUAAAAUCACAUAUAGAUGUUUAUUUUCCUACUGUGACAGUUGACUGGAUAUGUGGAGAAAUAAGUGACACAAGAUCAGCAGCUUUGAAAAAGAAUUUGAUCUUCAAUACUCUACUGGGAGAUGUUUAUGCUAUGUGUAUGUGAGCCCAUAUGCUGUAUGUGCACCGAGUGGUUGCAAUGUGAUUUA